rnacentral:rRNA from 1 species
AACACUCUCAUAUUAGGCACCCAAACCUUACCUUAUGCUUCGAUCACGGCAGCUGUACGAGCUCGAUCACUAGUACCACGCAGUGUGCUGAUGCCUGAGUAAAAGUCGUAACAAGUUCCGUAGUGAACUGCGAAGAUCAUUACCACACCUAAAAACUUUCACGUGAACCGUAUAACAAUUAUAAUUGGGGUGAUCUUAAUGGAGGCUACUAGUCAUUUUGGCUGGAGGCUACUAUCGAGUGAACCUUAUCAUGGCGAAAAACUAGACUUUUGUUUGGUGAAGUAGUGAAAAUUUUAAACCUUUACUUAAAUACUGAUUAUACUGUGGGGACGAAAGUCUCUACUUUUAUUCUAGAUAACAACUUUCAGCAGUGGAUGUCUAGGCUCGCACAUCGAUGAAGAACGCUGCGAAUUGCGAUACGUAAUGCGAAUUGCUAAAUUCAGUGAGUCAUCGAAAUUUUGAACGCAUAUUGCACUUCUUGGGCUAGUCCUACGAAGUAUGCCUCUAUCAGUGUCCACAUAUCAAACUUGGUUUUCUUUUAUCGUGUAUUCGAUAAAGGAUAUGCCAGAUGUGAAGUGUCUUGCGGUUGAUUUUCGAAUUGACUACGAGUCCUUUUAAAUAUAUGACUGUACAUCUCAUGCUAGAAAAGCGUGACGAUACUAAUUUGAAGGCUGUCCGUGCUGACCUGUCGGUGACUAGUUUGUUAACUGUGACUAUAUAUAUGAAGAAGUAUUCGAUUCGCGGUAUGAUUGGCCGUUCGGCUGGACUACGUGUAUUGGAUCUUUUUUAUGUAUGAAGAAGUAUUCGAUUUGCGGUAUGAUUGGCCGUUCGGCUGGACUACGUUUAUUGGAUCUUUUUCUGGUUGUGGUAGAUGAAUAGGUAAACCGUAGUUGCAUGUGUGACUUGGCUUUUGUACUUGUAUUGUCAGUGCGAAGUAAAGCGUCAACUUCGGUUGUCGAGACGUCGACCUUUUGGGAAAUGUGUUGUAAAGCUUCGGCUGCACUUCACCUCAAAUGGACCUGAUAUCAGGCAAGAUUACCCGCUGAACUUAAGCAUAUCAAGAGUUCGCCC